UCAGUACGGUCGGAAAUCGUACGUAGAGUGUAAAGGCAAAAGAGAGCUUGAUUGCAAGACAUACAGGUCGAGCAAGGAUGAAAAUCGGACUUAGUGAUCCGGUGGUUCUGCGUGGAAGGGCCAUCGCCCAACGGAUAAAAGCUACCCUGGGGAUAACAGGCUUAUCUCCCCCAUGAGUCCACAUCGACGGGGAGGUUUGGCACCUCGAUGUCGGCUCAUCACAUCCUGGGGCUGUAGUAGGUCCCAAGGGUUGGGCUGUUCGCCCAUUAAAGUGGUACGCGAGCUGGGUUCAG
rnacentral:rRNA from 1 species